UGGUAACUAUACAUUUUAUAAGUUAUGUAGGUGGGAUUUAUAAACUAUGAUGCAUAAUACGACUUGCUUGCUCAAGCAUUUAUUUCUUGUGAUGAAUUCCAUAAGUGCCUGAAUGGAGAAGAAUGGGUUUCUGGUCCAGCUUUAAAAGACUUACCAAAAAGCAAAAGAUUUUUCUUGGCUUGAGUUGGAUUGCUACCGGCCUGCUAGGGCCACACAUUUUGUUGUAUUUUGUGCCAAGUAAGAAACAAAGAAUUCAAGAAAAGCAAAAAAUUGAAAGUGAUGACAAGACCACUUGAAUUCCCAGCUUGUUGUACUGUCUAAAAAACUCGUAAAUAUUGAUAAAAGUAAUUUUUUUAAGACAAAUGUGACUUAUUUUGUAAUUGUCAAAGAAACUGAAAUAACUCUGUGUUGUUUGUUUGAUGAUUCAAAUGAUUUAUAGAUGGAAAGUGUUCGAAAUAUCUCUCUAUAGUAACUUUAUGAAUCUAUAUAACAUGUUGGUAAAGCUGA